CCUGAGACCACCAUCACCAUUGUGGGCAUCAGUGCUGCCCUGAGUCUUCUUGGAGCUGUGGUCACUGGAGCUGUGCUGUGGAGGAAGAAGUGCUCAGACAGAGGCAGGAAGAGCUACACUCAGGCUGACUGCAGUGACAGUGCUCAGGGCUCUGAUGUGUCUCUCACAGCUCCUAAGGGUGAGACCCUGAGAACAGGAAGUGGGGGGCAUUGGUACUGAGAAACACAGUUGGGUUUGGGCGAUUCUCAGAGUGGGACAUUCUGAGCGUGUGGUGGGCUGUGGGAAAAUGUGACACUUCUGAGACUGACCUGAAUUUCUUUGUGACAACUUUCUUUCCCAGUG